UACAGAGGCCUCGAGCGUUGUUCGGAAUUACUGGGCGUAAAGCGAAUGUAGGUGGUAUCGCAAGUCGGGUGUGAAAUCCCUAGGCUUAACCUAGGAAGUGCAUUCGAUACUGCGUUACUUGAGUACGGUAGAGGAAGGUGGAAUUUCUGGUGUAGGGGUGAAAUCCGUAGAUAUCAGAAGGAAUACCAAUGGUGAAGACAGCCUUCUAGGUCGUAACUGACACUCAGAUUCGAAAGCAUGGGUAGCAAACAGG
rnacentral:rRNA from 1 species